CUGGAAGUGUGGCGUAGAAGGUGGGAGUACUGAAAGUGGAGACGGAGAAAUACGGACGGCGAAGACGACAGUACGGACAGAGGAGACGAGAAAUGGAGCCCAGACAGCUCCAAGAGGAGGUUAUCCAGAUGAAAGAAGAGAUGGCACUUCUGAAGGAGGAACUGACACGUCGUAAUCAAGAGGGCAUUGCCCGUUUGGAUGGGGAACUGACCACUCUGAAGAAAAACUGCGACCACCUGAGUGAACAAGUGGUCGGACUGGAGGGAGAAGUGGCCACACUGAAGGGAAACAACGCCACACUGAAGGGAGACAACGCCACACUGAAGGGAGACAACACUACACUGCGUCAGGAGGUGGUCCAUCUACGUGGAGAGGUGGUCCGCCUGCGGCAGGCUGUCCUCGAGGAGCGCACCACUCGCCAGGUCGUCGUGGAGGAGCUGCGGCAGGAGGUCCGCCGGCGAGCGGCGCUAUCCGGCUGUCCCCAGGGUGACGGCGAUGAGGUGGCUUCAAUGAAGGUUGACACUUGCGACAAGACAAGUGACACCAUCCGCACAUGUGACGUCAUCACCCAAGCUGAGGAGGAGGCGGGACUGGCGGGCGGCGACGUGCCAGAGGCUGCACCGCAAUGGCCUUCUGCCAUUUAUCUCCUGGAUACCGAGUUGUUGAAGAUGGUGCUGAGCAAGAUGGACUGCUGGGAAAUGUUCCGCGCCAGACGGGUCUGCCGUCGGUGGCGGUCCGCCGUCGACGAUAUCGUCGGCGACUGUCGGCGGGAGCUAACCGAUCAACAAACUCGAGGUGGAGAAGUCCCUGCGCCGACUACGGGCCUAGAGCUCGUAGUGAAGACACAGGACCAGCCGAAGAUGACUGAACUGCGGGCGCCGACGGCUGAGACAGACACCGACCUUCGACUGGUCGCGGCCACCUGCCACGCCCUGGAGAAGGCUAACCUGCGCGGCUUCAAGCUGCGAGUCUCUGCCCUGCGCCGGCUGGCGCGUGCCAACGCCUCCAGUCUGCGUGAGCUGACGUUGCCGGCUGGCAUCAGCGACUGGCAGCUGGAGGCGCUGCUGGAGCCGCUGAAGGCUCUGGAGCGGCUCGAUGUGAGCCCACCCGUGGACAGCUCCGGCAAGUGGCUGCGGCUGCUGCCCAAGUCGCUGAGGAGACUGGACAUCACUGAGGAUCCGGGAUGACUAGAACCCCAAUGAAGCACCCCCGAUGGCCGACGUCUGGACUGGAUGUCGGUAUCAAACGAGGCACGGACACACUCCUGGACCAGCUGGCUGUCCUGGCGACCCGCACAGUCACAGGGCUGUUCAUUGGUGGAUGGCAGUGACCUGCAGGAAACUGAAGACACUGUACAUCGAAUCCUCAACUGAAAACUGCCAGGCUGUCCUGACCGCCCUGCACGAGACAGACCUGGGAUGUGACAGUGGCCAGUCCCGUACCAUCGAUUUCAAUGUCCCCAAGUCUAUAGAAGACGAGAUUGAAGAGCCCUCAGACAGUAGCAUCUGCGUGGAGUACUACGACGACAUCGACUAGUUUCCCAGUGCCAAGGCCCUAGGCAUGUGAAUACCCACUACCCAGUGCCUCGUCUACUCCGUUGCCGAUGGCAGUGUCGGAACUCGACAACAGAUGGCAGCACCGUGUCUAGUCCGUAGUGUCGGAACUGGACAACAGGUGGCAGUACCGUGUCACGUCGGCAGCGCUGUGCUGAACAAAAUAGACAUCUAGUAGACCUUCAUAUCCAGAAGUGCUUUGAGUCGCCCUGUACCAUCGGGCCAGGUCCGUGGGUACUUUACCGCCGUGCUAGGGUGGUUUGGGUUGAGUGGCCACCUAAAUGCUUGAUCAUUUGAGCACAGAUUGCUACGUUUGUUGACACUGCUUUGAUAGACAGUAGGUAUAUUCAGUAUCCGAGAUGUAUCACGCUCUGGGCCAGUGUCCAGCCAUCGGUGAACCGUUGUCACCGUGCCGGCGGUACCGCCGUGGUGACGUCACGUGUGUUGUGACGUGACGUCACGCUGGCUCACACCGCUGUGCUGUUGUGUUGUAGUUUCAGUUUAGACCAGAGAGUGGUUGGAGCUAUCUGUGAGGGUGUCCGGUCCGGGCGAUAUCGGACCUCGCCCGUCACUGUGUCGGACUGUCGGUGGUCCGGUCGGCUGUGGUUCGUUUGGACCGGAUAUGUCUGGUUCGGUGUCGUUCAUGGGAUAUCACGGGCUGAUGGCGAUUGAAAUACACAGUGGUUCAGACGUUCAAUACACAACUGUUACUGGA
rnacentral:misc_RNA from 1 species